AUUGAACGCUGGCGGCAGGCCUAACACAUGCAAGUCGAGCGAGCGGCGGACGGGUGAGUAAUGUAUGGGGACUGCCCGAUAGAGGGGGAUAACUACUGGAAACGGUGGCUAAUACCGCAUACUAUCGGAUAACCCAUAUGGGAUUAGCUAGUAGGUGGGGUAAAGGCUCACCAAGGAGACGAUCUCUAGCUGGUCUGCGAGGAUGAUCAGCAACACUGGGACUGAGACACGGCCCAGAACCCUACGGAGGCAGCAGUGGGGAAGAUUGGACAAUGGACGAAAUCCUGAUACAGCCAUGCCGCGUGUAUGAAGAAGGCUUUAGGUUGGUAAACUACUUUCAGCGAGGAGGCGUUACCCACACAAAAAGCACCGGCUAACUCCGUGCCAGCAGCCGCGGUAAUAC
rnacentral:rRNA from 1 species